rnacentral:lncRNA from 1 species
CCCCAUCUCUGCCUCAGAGGGUGGGUCCCCUUGACUUUGACAACUUGAUCCCCUGGAAAUGUCCUACUUCCUGCUCCUCCCCAGGCCCUGCCUAGUGGGACCACGUCAUUCUCUAUUCUCAUGGACCUCUAUACCCCUCCUCUCUGAGUUCAGGUAUUCUGGUACCUGCCCACAGCAGGGAGAACAACAGACCACAUGUCCAGUCCUUGCCCAGCCCAGAUUAUGCUAUAAAGACGUUUUUUGAAAGAGAAAGAAAGAGGUGACAUUCUGUGGAGGGAUCUUAAGGGACCAGGUAUCCAGCCUCCCCAGUCUGUAGCCCCAGGUCCCCACACUGGUGUUUUUCUUCAGGUUGAGGACCUAUUCUUGGAGACCCAAGCUCCCAGCACUCCAGCCACAGACCUUCACUUGAGACUUCCUUCUCAAGACCCUCAGGUUUUUUCUUCCCUUUUAGGCCUAAUCACAUCGGGGACUCGAGGCCUCCCUUCCAGGCUUGGCAGGCAGAGUAUCUCAAGAUGAAGAGAAAGACAUUUUCCCUUGCAUGCUGGCCGCUGUUUCAUCUUCUACUACUCUUAGGAAACGCUGUAACUUCUAAUGCUAACACUACAGCCACCACCCUUGGACAAACCACAUCACCCAGGGGAACUAACACAACAGCUAUAACCUCCAGUGGGAACAUCACGACCACCUCCCUCGGACCAACCACACCGUCCAGGGGAACUAACACAACAGCUAUAACCUCCAGUGGGAACAUCACGACCACCUCCCUCGGACCAACCACACCGUCCAGGGAAACUAACACAACGGCUAUAACCUCCAGUGACACCAGCACAAGUACUGCCCCUCCAAGGAAAGAGGAGAACCUUAGCGGACAACUGACACCAUGGGAAGUUGUUCUGGUCACUCUGGCCUCGGUUGCAAUGGCUGUGAUUCUCGUCACCGGGCUUCUCUUCCAUUUCGUGAGUGCCUGAUUAUAGGGAACCCUUUUUCUAAAGGAAAGAGAGGAGGGAGGUAAAGAAGGAGCUGGAGUAGAGAGAGCAGGGUCACUGUGGGAGUAACAGGGAUGAGAAAUCAGAAAAAGACACAGAGAAAGCAGGUCAGAGCCAGCAAGCCAGAAGGUCAAAAAGCCAAAACAUAUUCAGAGAAAACUGAUGAGGGGACGUUCCGGGGGGGAGGUCGGGGGGAGGCAAAGGAAGUGAUGAGGACGGAAGAGCUGGCAAGAAGGGGACUCCUGGGACUGGAGAGCCACUGGAAGAGGAGGCAAAACUCCGAAAACUAUUCAGCCUUUUGUUUUCUAGAGAAACUCUCCAGGCCUCAGAAACCUCUUCGAUGUUAAUCUCUUACCAACUGCAUGGCCAAGCCCCUACGGGACCAGGGCAACUGCAACUGACUUCAGAGGAGACCCUUCUCCCGUAGUCAUGGAGCUGACUGGGAGGCGGGAAUAGCACUGAGCUCCCUGAAGGCAGACGCAUCACCAAUGUGUGGGGGUAGGGG